GGAAAGGUGACUGAGUGGUUUAUAGUGUUGGUUUGCUAAACCUUUGUGUAUUUUCAAAAGUACACCAUGGGUUCGAAUCCCAUUCUUUCUU
rnacentral:tRNA from 1 species